GACGUAGGGUGCGAGCGUUGUCCGGAUUUAUUGGGCGUAAAGAGCUCGUAGGCGGCUCGUCGCGUCGACCGUGAAAACCCGCGGCUUAACUGCGGGCUUGCGGUUGAUACGGGCGGGCUAGAGUUCGGUAGGGGAGACUGGAAUUCCUGGUGUAGCGGUGAAAUGCGCAGAUAUCAGGAGGAACACCAACGGCGAAGGCAGCUCUCUGGGACGUUACUGACGCUGAGACGCGAAAGCGUGGGGAGCAAACAGG
rnacentral:rRNA from 1 species